rnacentral:rRNA from 1 species
AACGAACGCUGGCGGCAGGCUUAACACAUGCAAGUCGAACGCCCCGCAAGGGGAGUGGCAGACGGGUGAGUAACGCGUGGGAAUCUACCCAGAUCUACGGAACAACAGUUGGAGACGACUGCUAAUACCGUAUACGCCCUACGGGGGAAAGAUUGGUCGGAUUUGGAUGAGCCCGCGUUGGAUUAGCUAGUUGGUGGGGUAAUGGCCUACCAAGGCGACGAUCCAUAGCUGGUCUGAGAGGAUGAUCAGCCACACUGGGACUGAGACACGGCCCAGACUCCUACGGGAGGCAGCAGUGGGGAAUAUUGGACAAUGGGCGCAAGCCUGAUCCAGCCAUGCCGCGUGAGUGAUGAAGGCCUUAGGGUUGUAAAGCUCUUUCACCGAUGAAGAUAAUGACGGUAGUCGGAGAAGAAGCCCCGGCUAACUUCGUGCCAGCCGCCGCGGUAACAC